rnacentral:rRNA from 1 species
AGAAGGAAGCUUGCUUCUUUCAAAUCUAGUGGCAAACGGGUGAGUAACACGUAAACAACCUGCCUUCAGGAUGGGGACAACAGACGGAAACGACUGCUAAUACCGCAUAAUAUAUAUUUAUCGCAUGGUAGAUAUAUCAAAGAUUUAUCGCUUAGAGAUGGACUCGCGUCCGAUUAGUUAGUUGGUGAGGUAACGGCUCACCAAGACCGCGAUCGGUAGCCGGACUGAGAGGUUGAACGGCCACAUUGGGACUGAGACACGGCCCAGACUCC